GCCCAGAUAGCUCAGUUGGUAGAGCACAUGACUGAAAAUCAUGGUGUCCGUGGUUCAAUUCCGCGUCUGGGCACCA
rnacentral:tRNA from 1 species